UCUACACAUUAACCAAUUUUCACUCUCCGUAAGAAUGGAAGCCAUUUCAAAUGUUCAACCGUGCCACCCUGCCUACGUGAAUCACCAUUUCUUCAUAUUAAUGACAAUCCCCUUUUGGUAUUGAGAGGACAAGAACACUCACUAGCAACUCAAAGGAGGAAAAAAAAACAAAAUAUAGACCAGGAUAUCAAGAGAUAAAUUCAGGACAAAAGAAAAGGGGAAAACAAAUUUCAGGACCACGUAUCGAAGAACCAGAGAUGAGGAUUCUGGCUUGUGUCCUGACGCACAGGGGAGUUUGACUCAGCACACAACUUUCCAUCUCCCAGGGAAGCUACAAUGUGCAAUACCUGAUUACUUAUUUCUUAAGACAUAGUUGGCCCACCAAGACUAAUAUGAGGCCCAAGGCCUCUUCUUCUAUCUCAAAAACCCAACAUAUGUCACACAUGCAGAAGACAGCUAAAGAAAAGAAGACUCCACUAUGAAGUUUAAGACUGAGGCCUGUUAGCAGUGGGGCAUCUUUAGUGCCAACUACCCCAAGGAGAAUACACACAUUUUUAAAUGAUCAGAUGCUCUAGUCUAUUACGUCAUGGAGGGUUUUUUUAAAAAAAAGAGAAGCAUAAAAAUAUAUUAGAUAUGCUUUAGGAAGCCUUAUUUUGAACAAGUAUUCUUUUGACCAUGCUACAUUAAACCUUUCCUUGACAAUUAAUAUGUUAUCUUCAGAUUAAACCAUAAACAACCGUUUUAAUAGCUUAAUGUACUCUAUGAACCAAGUAAUCACAAUAAGCCAUAAUGCUUUUUUUUUUGUUUAGUGUGCUGUGUGAGCUACUGUAGUUUACCAUGUUUGACGUUUUACCAUCCGUAAUAACCACUGCCUGAAUGUGAUUUAGAGGGUAAUUAAUUAAUUACAAAGAUGCCAAAUGCCAAUUAAUUAAUUAAUUACAAAGAUGCCAAAUGUUUUAGUUUUUUUGCUACGAGAACAGUGGUAAUCUUAAGAGGCACCACUCCCUUUUUUG